rnacentral:lncRNA from 1 species
UUUUCGUCCAUUGUAAAACUUUGAGGCAUCGUUUGGCUGGGGGAUAAGGGGAGGGAUAACCUCUUAUCCGCCCUUUAUACCCAAACGCAAAUUUUUUAUCCGAGAAUAGUAGUUCUCGAGUAUCUGAAAUAAGCUUGUAUAACUAUUCUCACCAACACCUCCAUUUUCUAUAUAUAACUACCAACUUUUUUUCUUAUUCCAUAUUAUCUAUCCAAACUCUAUUUUUCUUAUCCUCGGGAACAACCCAAUUUUCAUCCAAAUGCUAUUUUUCUUAUCCCCAUACUUGUACCUAUUCAUGUAAUAGCUAGUUUGGCAUUAGCUUGUUAUUCCU